rfam:Bacillus sp. SGD-V-76 genomic scaffold Scaffold40, whole genome shotgun sequence.
UUUAACCUAAACGACGCAAGCCCUACCUCUCUUGCAUCCUCACGGCUCCGAAGCCGAUCCAGUGUGAAUAAGUUGUUUUUAAAAACA